GUGUAGCGCAGCUUGGUAGCGCAUCCGCUUUGGGAGCGGAAGGCCGCAGGUUCAAAUCCUGUCACCCCGACCAGCGC
rnacentral:tRNA from 1 species